UACGAAGGGGGCUAGCGUUGCUCGGAAUCACUGGGCGUAAAGCGCACGUAGGCGGAUUGUUAAGUCAGGGGUGAAAUCCUGGAGCUCAACUCCAGAACUGCCUUUGAUACUGGCGAUCUUGAGUCCGGGAGAGGUGAGUGGAACUGCGAGUGUAGAGGUGAAAUUCGUAGAUAUUCGCAAGAACACCAGUGGCGAAGGCGACUACCUGGCCUGUUCUUGACGCUGAGGCGCGAAAGCUAGGGGAGCAAACGGG
rnacentral:rRNA from 1 species